ACGGCAGUAGCUCAAUUGGUAGAGCAUCGGUUUCCAAAACCGACGGUUGCGGGUUCAAGUCCCUCCUGCCGUGCCA
rnacentral:tRNA from 1 species